GGACGCAUAGCUCAGUUGGUCAGAGCGUUCGCUUCACACGCGAAAGGCCCCCUGUUCGAGUCAGGGUGCGUCCA
rnacentral:tRNA from 1 species